rnacentral:lncRNA from 1 species
GUCUCCCUCUGCCCACCCACCUGCACCUGACAACUGUGGGCUGUGCUCUCAUGGAGGCACCGUCGGACGCUACCAGACUACAGAGGUGAGCGCCCUUAAUCCUGACUGAAGGUUUGGGAAAAGGCUUCUCAGAAGAGGUGAUACUUGAUACGGGCCCUGGAGGAGGAAGAACAGUUUGAGAAGACAGCAGUGAGAGAUGGCAUCCGGGCAGGCGAGAAAUGCAAAGGGAAGAGAGGUCAUCCAGGACAAAAGUACAGAAUUAAAAGAAAAAGCAACUAAGCACGAAAUCUUGGAGAAUGUCCUCAUUGAAGGGUCCUGAGCACCAAGGGAACAGUCAGAAAUGAUGAGUCCAGAAAUGAUGCCCUCCAGAACUUCCGGUGAGGAAGGCACUCAGGAAAAUGCAGCACCCUAUGGAGGCCCAGGAAGGAGGGCAUUCAGGAAGAACACAGUCUGAUGGUGUCAAGUGCAGUGGAAGCUAAGAG